rnacentral:rRNA from 1 species
AGUCGAACGAGAAAGUGGAGCAAUCCAUGAGUACAGUGGCGUACGGGUGAGUAACACGUGGGUAAUCUACCUUUUAGUGAGGAAUAACCAAGGGAAACUUUGGCUAAUACCGCAUAAGCCUGAGAAGGGAAAGUCGAAAGACGCUGAAAGAGGAGCCCGCGGCCGAUUAGCUAGUUGGUGAGGUAAGAGCCCACCAAGGCAGAGAUCGGUAGCCGGCCUGAGAGGGCACACGGCCACACUGGCACUGAAACACGGGCCAGACUCCUACGGGAGGCAGCAGUGGGGAAUCUUGCACAAUGGGGGAAACCCUGAUGCAGCGACGCCGCGUGAGCGAUGAAGCCCUUCGGGGUGUAAAGCUCUUUCGCCAGGGAAGAUAGUGACGGUACCUGGAGAAGCAGCUGCGGCUAACUACGUGCCAGCAGCCGCGGUAAUACGUAGGCAGCAAGCGUUGUUCGGAGUUACUGGGCGUAAAGGGUGUGUAGGCGGUUCUUUAAGUUUGGUGUGAAAUCUCCCGGCUUAGCCGGGAGGGUGCGCCGAAUACUGAGGGACUAGAGUACGGGAGAGGAAAGUGGAAUUCCUGGUGUAGCGGUGAAAUGCGUAGAUAUCAGGAGGAACACCGGUGGUGUAGACGGCUUUCUGGACCGUAACUGACGCUGAGACACGAAAGCGUG